GUUGGAGAGGAGAUAGAGUAAUGGAGGAUUUGAGGUUACCUAAAAAGCGAAGAAAACUGGACCAGCAGCCAAGCAUACGCGUUUUUUAUCAGACAGCAGCACAGAGAGACAAGGAGAGGGACAGGCACGCUGAACUCACCAAAACAAAGUGGACGGGCAGUUACUGCAAUGCACUAAACAAAAACAAUAUAUAGGGAAAGAAAGGCAUUUGCACCUCCCCCGAUGUCUAAACCAUGGUUACACCCUUGGUUAGAAGCCUGGAUUAGGCCUAAUCCUGGGCUCUAAAUGGAUGCCAUCAUCUGAAAGCAAAGUCUCCGUAGUUCGUAGUUCUGUCUGGACCCUGAUCCUCACUCCUGCCUGGCCAAGUGGACACCUUCCGCUUCUAUCACCAUUAAUAUUCCUAUUUCUAUUGCUGUAAACAUAAAUGCCCAGCACUAACUUUGUUUCUCCUAGAAUAUUUGUGCUUUCUCGCC
ensembl:lncRNA